UACUGAGCUCAUGUUAACGCCUUGCCGCUGAUGCAACGCUUUAGACUACAGAUAAUUAACAACCUGUACGGACAUUACGCGCGUACAACACUCGUAUAUCAAAGAUCCUGUGUUCAAAAUGUGAACUAAUCACGUAAUAUACAUAUUUGCGACACCUGCCGCCACUCAUCGGCGCGUGUCAGUUAAGAAAAGCCAAGAAUAACUCGCACUGGUUAUAACUGGCUACAGCCAGAUUGAUCGUAUUGGAGGGCUGGCAGGCCAACAAGGAAGCGCUUGCUCCUUUGCGGGCGGAAAUCACCGAAUUUCCAUAACAGUCCAAAUAAAUCGCGGUCACUGUGGCGCUACCUCACUAUGUCAAUGUCGCGACGCGGAUAGCAACAAUAAGACAUCCUGUAAUCGUUUACUGAAGAGUGAUACGAAUGCCGAGGAGCAUAGCCAAGGUGACACUCAGGAUAUAGGGCAUAUCAACAGGAAGACUGCGAUUGCUACAUAAAGAGGCGAAGGUUAGGAGGUUAAUAUGGCGCAAGUGUAAUAUAAAGUAAUCUUAUACUAUCAGAAUAAGUUGAUGUUGAAUUCUUUUAAGACGACUAAUAAAUGGUUAAAGAAAAUUCCUACUGCACUUAAAAUAUUCAUCAUCACAUGCAUCUUAAAGAUAAAGAUUUUUAUUGUGUUUAAAUUUAGAUUUUGUAAUUUAGUCUUUUUAUUUGUGUUUAUUUCUUUCUCCUGAAGCUUCCUCUAUCAAACUUCUUCUGGGUUAUGUGCUAUAGACAGGAUAUAUACUUCACGCCAUGCCAUCGUUUAACUUAUUCUCUAUAUUACUAAUGUGGUAAAUCAUGAAUGUGUUGGUGUCAUUCACUUGGAAAAUGUGUAAGUACAAUAUGAUGUUCACAACGUAAUUACAAUCA